UGCGGGGUGGAGCAGUGGUAGCUCGUCGGGCUCAUAACCCGAAGGUCGCAGGUUCGAAUCCUGUCCCCGCUA
rnacentral:tRNA from 1 species